GUACCUAACCGUCAUUCCUGUCUGGAUGCGCGCUGGUGACGGUGCUUUCCUGAGGCACUGUGAAGCACGGCACAGUGGUCGGAGGUUGUGAUUUGUAAAAUAAUGUAUAUCAAAUGUUCGCUACAUUUGAAUAUUGCCUCACGGUUUAGGUAAAAUAUGGAACUGUACAACACAGCUUGUCUACAGUUUGUUAUUGUUGUUGUUUAUUUACUUAUUUUUUUUGUUUCUUCAGCAUGUCAUUCUCAGUGCAUUGGAAUUUGCUGAGAUGGCAGUCCUUGAGAUGGCAGUCCUGUACACGACAGCCACGGUGGUCACAGCAGUGGAACACUUGAAGGUGCAUAGAUGGCAGUCCUUGAGGUGGCAGUCCCACACACGACAGCCACGGUGGUCACAGCAGUGGGUCACUUGAAGGUGCAUAGAUGGCAUCCUUGAGGUGGCAGUCCUGUACACGACAGCCACGGCGGUCACAGCAGUGGGACGCUUGAAGGUGCAUAGGUGGCAGUCCUGUACACGACAGCCACGGCGGUCACAGCAGUGGGACACUUGAACGUACAUAGGUGGCAGUCCUGUACACGACAGCCAUGGCGGUCACAGCAGUGGGACACUUGAAGGUGCAUAGAUGGCAGUCCUUGAGGUGGCAGUCCUGUACAUGACAGCAUUGGCAGUCACAGCAGUGGGACACUUGAAGGUGCAUAGGUGGCAGUCCUUGAGGUGGCAGUCCUGCACACGACAGCCACGGUGGUAACAGCAGUGGGACACUCGAAGGUGCAUAGAUGUAUGUAUACACACACCUUAAUUGUUUAUUACUUCUUAGUGUUUGCCAUAUUCCUUCCCAUAAAUAGUUGUUUAAUAAUUGUUUACCUUCAAAUGCACAAUGCAAACAAAAUUGUGAGCACAUACUCUAAACAUCAAAUAACUUGGAACAUCUCAUCCCACAUUUCCCUUGCUGUAUAUUUACAUGUUAUAUUUGUAUAAGCAGUUAUUUAUUUUAUCUUCCUUUUUUUUUUUUUUUUCUAAGGUUCAUAUUUUAAUUUUGUCCCCAGUAGAACAUGAAGCAUCCAGGAUUGAUGCCUGAGUGGUCAUGGACAUGUCACAAGUACAGCUUCCACAUUAUGGGGAGAAAUUAAUUGUGUUAUAUCAAGUUAUUAUUUUAUGAUUUUAAAAUAACAAAAUGUUUGUAAUAUCACCAUGUGAUGUUUACUACUUGGUUAUUUGUGGAGAUGUUUACAGGACAAAUUUUGGACGGCUGAAAACGAAUGAUGACACGAUCACCCGGACCUUCCACCACAUGUUAGCUGGGAUGCCAGACAAGGUGGCGUCCCUUUUCAGGUGCCCGCACAGUGUCCCAUCACUGAGCAGCAGCUUGGGGCAGCAGGCCAGACACCACCACAGCCUUGCCCCAAGCCUGGUGACUGCUUUUAUUUGCUUCACAAUGUUGGCUUAGAAAAAUCAGGUUGCUGCAGAACAUCAUCAGCAAGCUCAAAAAACAAGGGAUUGAGGUAGCAGACCCUGAAGAAUCCACAGCAGCUGAAAACUCUAUUUCUCCAUAUGCAAGCCCUGAAGUGCAGGAGUUUAUCAGAGCACAGGUAAUUAAUGGCUUAGGAAAUAAGAAGGGCAGAAGAUGUGGGGGGCGGGCAAAGGAGGAGGUUUGCUCUGGCCUUGCGUUACCAUAGUCCUAAGGCGUGUAGAUUUUAAAGCUCUACUUUUUCACUCCCCAGCAGUUGCAGUCUUCACCUUUGGCUAAGGCAAACUUCCAUUCAAGUAGGCAGGAGCAAACAAAUUCUGACAGUCCUGAGGAAGAGAGUAGAGACUAUGUCGAAGGAAGAGACUCUCUGUGGCAUGCAUUUCAUGUAGUGACCGUGAGAGAAUCUCUCCAUUUUGACCCGGCCUCUGAUUCCAUCAUUGGUACGAAGGAUUUUGGAAACCGUGGCAAGAGUCUGAAGCAGGCAAACCAUGCACUUGUGUUCAUGGCUAAAGCGUUGGCCAGGCAGUGGAAAACGGUUAGGUUAGGUUAGAUCCGGUUAUGUUAUGAUAGAUCAGGUCAGGUUAGGUCAGGUUAGGAUUGUCUUAUUUUAAGCUUUCGUCUCCAUUCAAGUACAAAAAACGAGCACUUCUGCGUUCCCCGUCCAUAAACCACGCUUUCCAACGAGUCCCCAAGGUCACAGGGGGACGACAGGAGAAGAGGCAGAGUGAAGUAAUUCCGUCGUGUUUUGUGCUCAAAAUCGUCCAUAACAUAAACAAUCAAUAACGAACAUCACAGUUUUGUAGUUUGCAGUUUGGUCGU